UAAAGUCUUCACGUUUCCGUAAUGAUCAGAAAAUAAAAUAAAUGCUUAUUGCUUUCUUUUUCCCACAUUGUGUGAAUUUUCAAGGUUUUAUAUUUUUUGUAAUAAUUUCUUAAACCUGAUAACUGAAUAUAUUUGCACAGGUCUUUUUGUCCCUCUGAAUAAGCACGAGGAUAAUUUGAAAAAAAUCAAAAAGCCAUUUUUACUGUGCUCAAAAUGCUGUUUUCAUAAGCUAAGCAGGUUUUUAGCAGUAACUAAUUUCAUUCGUGUACCUCAGUUCUUCAUUAUCUAUUUACAGGGUGAAUUAAAAAUGUCCUAAAUAUCUUUGGGAAGCAUUAUUAUUUUAUUGUUAAUUAUUUACACAGGUGUACAGUAGCGGCUUUUGAUACGGGCGACACGGGCGGUUGCCCAGGGCGGCAUCGUGGUGGGGGGCGGCAUGACGGGCAUCGGCAAAAAAAAAAAAAAAAAAAAAAAAAAAAUGCUCGUACUCAUGCUGCUCCGACGUCAUGCCAGCGCAUAUUGGGAAUGACAUUGGCACCGAUCGGUAGUGACAGCGUGCACCGGACCACGCUUGAUAUUUGAGGAAAUCGACGGUACAUUUGUGUGUGAAUCCGAGAAGCACUGAGAGCCUCAGAUUAACCAAUCAGUCAGAUCGCUGUCUCGACUUCUCCUCAUCCUUCUUCGUUCCCUUGGUUUUUUAAGUACCUCAUAUAUGUUGGGAUUCUUUAGCUAGUUAACCAUCACGUUAGCAAACUGCUUCGGAGCACAGCUGCCGGAGUCGCGGGUUUUCUUGAAUCAGGCGUUGGACCUGCUGGAGGAAUGCUCUGCGAUGAUGGUGGAAAACAACCGCCAUUCAACCCAUUUGAGAGAUUCAAAGAACUAGCUACAGAAUAAAUUGUGACCGGGCUCACUGGCUGAGAUGGUGGAGCCAAACAUCGACAUGUUAACUGUGACUGCGAAGUUCCUGUAUGAACCGAACAACUCUGAAAAUCCAGGAAGAGCUGAUGGGCAGGGUGGUGGAGAUGUUCUGAGGGUGAGGCGGUCGCACUGUGAUGGGAACGCAGCCGGCGUACAGGCAGCCAGAAAAGGCUGCGAUCAGGUCUGUACCUGCAGAAGAAGGAGACACACUGGUGUGAACGAUGCUUGCAGUGUCCAGACCGCCUCUCUCCAUCAGCAGAGCUGCCACUCGCUCCGCCCUCUUAUGCAGCUGCAGGAGGUGAGAGAGGGGAACGGUGUGAGCCAUCAAGAAGCCAAAGGACAAAAACUGCAGUUC